CAAACCUUAGCUUUGUGACUAACCAUCGUGUAUCCUCCUCCUCAGGUUGCUUUCAAGCCAUGGCUCUGUUUCCAGUACAAUUCCUGACUUCUGGAUUAAGUGUUUUUCCUGACUCUUGGGUUAAGAACCUUCAGGAUCAAGGUUCAAGCCUUCAGUUACCUUCUCUGGACAAACUUCUAGCUGGCAGCUUCCUGACUCCGCGAUCAACCGAUCCCAAUCAUAAGCAAACCUUGUUCACCCUCCAAUGUGCUCUCAUGCAAGUACCUCCACCCGGUGCUCCACACCUCCAUCUCACCCACCACAGACUGUGUUUUAUAGGACAGGACCAGAGAACCUCCUUCAAGGAUUCAAAGACCAACUUAUCUUGGAUAACUUACCUCCUCAGUUAUCUCUGGUCCUGUGCUCCCAGACUCCACAUCUCUCUUUCCCGCUGGCGGGACAGUCAUCUCUUCCUUUGGUGAUCUACUGGCCCUGGUUCUCUCGCCAUAAAUCGCUCCUGUGAAAAUAAACCUCUUUAAAUCUG